UAGGGAAUCUUCCACAAUGGACGCAAGUCUGAUGGAGCAACGCCGCGUGAGUGAAGAAGGUUUUCGGACCGUAAAGCUCUGUUGUUGGUGAAGAAGGAUAGAGGUAGUAACUGGCCUUUAUUUGACGGUAAUCAACCAGAAAGUCACGGCUAACUACGUGCCAGCAGCUGCGGUAAUACGUAGGUGGCAAGCGUUGUCCGGAUUUAUUGGGCGUAAAGCGAGCGCAGGCGGAAGAAUAAGUCUGAUGUGAAAGCCCUCGGCUUAACCGAGGAAUUGCAUCGGAAACUGU
rnacentral:rRNA from 1 species